GGACUACUGGGGUUUCUAAUCCUGUUUGCUCCCCAAGCUUUCGCACCCUAGCGUCAGUAGAGACCCAGAAAGCUGCCUUCGCUACUUCGGCGUUCCUUCGUAUAUCUCCGGAUUUUAUCCCUUCACACGAAAUUCCACUCCCCUCUAUCCCACUCGAGUGAAUUGGUUUUGAAAGCAUUCCGCCAGUUGAGCUGGCGUCUUUGACUUUCAACCUGAUUCACUGCCUACGUGCCCUUUACGCCCAGUCAUUCCGAAUAACACUUGCCUCCCCCGUCUUACCGCGGCUGCUGGCAC
rnacentral:rRNA from 1 species